CUGGUAAUGGUGUUUCAGUCUUAUUUCUGGCCAAGUUGGGACAGCUAAACAUGAAGAGACAGAAAACCAUUAGGCUGCUAAUCUUAUUCUUUCAGUCAAACCAAUAUCCAGUUCACAGAAGCAAGCGGCUCAGUGGAAUCAAGGUGUGGGAUUCUUUCCCCCUGGGUCAUCUCUCACUGACCAAGUACGCACUCUAGUUGGAGAAACAUAACGAACUCUUCAGCUGUGACAACAGAUGAUGAAGAAACCACUGUCCAUGGGUUCCAGAAGAAGAAAAACCACAUCCAGCUUCUGGCUCUGUAAGAUCUAACAUUACAAUUCCUGUACUUUUUAGUUCCUUCUGUCCUCUCCAUUUGUUUACCAAAUAACCUCCUGUUUGCCCUCUUGUUCCUCAGAAACUUCAGCUUCCUGCCUCUUUGUAUGAAGUUCCUCACUGAAUGCUAUAAUUAGUUAUCAAUAAGAGUGGUAAGUGCUAAGCUGAGCCUAGAUUAUUUCUUUAACUUACAUUCUUCUUCAUUCCUUUUUCCUAUCCAGACCAGCUCUGUUCCAAAACAGCUGCCUGUUAGAUGGGGUGAAACAACGUGGUACACAUUCUGACCUCCAAGUUCUUCAAGAUUUACCUGGACACAAAAGUCUCCUGUGCUUGUUUUGUGGAAGAAGUGGGUUUCAGUGACUAAUGCCCCAUAUUUAUUUAAUUAUAUAUAUUUUUUUAAUCCUGGGAAGUGCUUGAAUUCCACCUCCACACCCCAAGAACUGUAAUGAUGUAGUUACUUUUGUCCAUCCACUGACUAGGUUGUUAGGCUGGCCUGCUGGAACCGGAGACAUUAAGUCUGUUAUAUUGGCAUUACAAUUAUGUGUUUUUUUCCUUUUGCAUAUACCACCUCUUAAGAAUUCUGCAGAAUCAAGUGAUGCAGCAUAUGAAGAAUGCAGUUCCAUUAACUCAUUAGCAAAAAUUCUGAAAGGGGGAUAAAUAAUAAAUGCUUAGAUAUUGAUGCCACUCU